CCUGGCGGCCAUAGCGAGUUGGCCCCACCGGUUCCCAUCCCGAACACCGAAGUGAAACGACUCAGCGCCGAUGGUAGUGUAGCGAUGACUAUGCGAGAGUAGGACACUGCCAGGC
rnacentral:rRNA from 1 species